AUACGGAGGGUGCAAGCGUUACUCGGAAUCACUGGGCGUAAAGCGCGCGCAGGCGGGCUGAUAAGUUGGAUGUGAAAGCCUACGGCUCAACCGUAGAACUGCAUCCAAAACUGUCAGUCUAGAGUGUGGGAGAGGAAGAUGGAAUUAGUUGUGUAGGGGUAAAAUCCGUAGAGAUAACUAGGAAUACCAAAAGCGAAGGCAAUCUCCUGGAACACAACUGACGCUGAGGCGCGAAGGCGUGGGGAGCAAACAGGAUUAGAAACCCUAGUAGUCC
rnacentral:rRNA from 1 species